AUAGUAAACAAUUCCAAGCAAAUCAAGAGGCACCUGAUACAAAUUAUCCAAAAUCCUUGAAAGAACCAUUCCAGUACAGGAAAUGCAUAGUGUUUUAAAGAAGGAAGGAAGUGAAAUUAUGGACUCAAAAGCCAGGAGAUGCAUGUAGAAAAUGCAGCAGUGAGAGAGAAUAUACACCAAAUGAUGGACAUUAAAAACAUAACCUCUAC